UAACAUUGCUUUGAAUUAGUGACCUUUGC
rnacentral:piRNA from 1 species